AGUGAACGCUGGCGGUAGGCCUAAUACAUGCAAGUCGAACGGCAGCACAGUAAGAGCUCGCUCUUACGGGUGGCGAGUGGCGGACGGGUGAGGAAUACAUCGGAAUCUUCUUUUUCGUGGGGGAUAACGUAGGGAAACUUACGCUAAUACCGCAUACGACCUACGGGUGAAAGCAGGGGAUCUUCGGACCUUGCGCGAUUGAAUGAGCUGACGCCGGAUUAGCUAGUUGGCGAGGUAAAGGCCCACCAAGGCAACGAUGCGUAGCUGGUCUGAGAGGAUGAUCGGCCACACUGGAACUGAGACACGGUCCAGACUCCUACGGGAGGCAGCAGUGGGGAAUAUUGGGCAAUGGGCGCAAGCCUGAUCCAGCCAUGCCGCGUGGGUGAAGAAGGCCUUCGGGUUGUAAAGCCCUUUUGUUGGGAAAGAAAAGCAGCAGAUUAAUACCCCGCUGUUCUGACGGUACCUAAAGAAUAAGCACCGGCUAACUUCGUG
rnacentral:rRNA from 1 species